CUCGGCUCCUCGGCCCCGCGCUCCGAGCCCACCGCGGAACUUGGCCCGGCGCAGCAGGCGAGGGAUGCUGUAAGCAGGUGAAGGAUGGACUGACAGAGCCCCAGCAGGCCCCACCCAAGGCUGAGGGGCUCAGCCUGCAGGGAAGGAGCCAGUUUUGGACACAAACAUCACUCAGGCUGCGGCGAGGGGAGAGGAGCUGCGAGGAGCUGCCGCGGAUCGAACCCGCUCCUGGAGGGGAAAAUACCGCUUCGGUUUGGUGUCUAAUUAGAUAUUUACCAGGAAGGAAGGAAAGAUAUAAAUAGGGUGACAGUGA